UACGGAGGGUGCAAGCGUUGUUCGGAAUCAUUGGGCGUAAAGCGCGUGUAGGCGGCUAUCUAAGUCUGAUGUGAAAGCCCGGGGCUUAACCCCGGAAGUGCAUUGGAUACUGGAUGGCUAGAGGACGAGAGAGGGAAGUGGAAUUCCUGGUGUAGGGGUGAAAUCCGUAGAUAUCAGGAGGAACAUCGGAGGCGAAGGCGGCUUCCUGGCUCGUUUCUGAUGCUGAGACGCGAAAGCGCGGGGAGCAAACAGG
rnacentral:rRNA from 1 species